AUGGACUGUAAGCCUAUCAGGCUCCUCCGUCCAUGGGAUUUUCCAGGCAAGAGUGCUGGAGUAGAUUGCCAUUUCCUUCUCCAGAGGAUCUUCCUGACCCAGGAAUUGAACCCGGGUCUCCUGCAUUGCAGGCAGAUGCUUUACCGUCUGAGCCACGAGGGAAGCCCCUGGGACAUGGAGGGACCUGAGGUAUGGCCUCUGUUGGGGCUUGCAGCCCAGCUCUGGCCUUCUAGACUGAGCCAGAGGCGUCCGGGCCACCUGGGAACUUGUUGGAGGCUCAGAGCGUCAGGCCCCGCCUGGGGAUCCUAAAGCAGCAGGUGGGCGGCAGGAGAGGCCUGCGCACCAUGGCCUGCAGUCAUCUGUGGGACAGGAGUCUGUCCCGCCCCCAACCCCAGCCUCAGACCAGUUCAUCACCUGUGCCGUCCCUCAUCUUCCUGCCUCUCAAGUCUGCUUUGCAAGGCUCCUCUCGGGACAUUUAACCCUGCAGCCUCAGUUUCCUCAAGUAAGAAUGAGGAUAAAAAUGCCCACAAGUGGGAUUCACAUCCAGGGAGGUCAUGGAUAAACAGUACAUGGCCGAGGCAGAGUCAGGGCUACCCUAAUUACUGCCAGCACCCCAUGUCUGGCGGGUCUGUGCUAGGGUUCCUUUGGGGAUGCAGGAGAGACCUGUUCAUGGGGUGGGGGUCUGGGAUGAACCCUAGGAGCUGAGAGGGAGCACAAUGACUGGAGCUUACUCACAGCAGCCUGACGAGGGAGGAAGGAAGGGAGGGCAAGCCGAGCAC
rnacentral:lncRNA from 1 species